GAUGAACGCUGGCGGCGUGCCUAAUACAUGCAAGUCGAACGCACAGCGAAAGGUGCUUGCACCUUUCAAGUGAGUGGCGAACGGGUGAGUAACACGUGGACAACCUGCCUCAAGGCUGGGGAUAACAUUUGGAAACAGAUGCUAAUACCGAAUAAAACUCAGUGUCGCAUGACACAAAGUUAAAAGGCGCUUUGGCGUCACCUAGAGAUGGAUCCGCGGUGCAUUAGUUAGUUGGUGGGGUAAAGGCCUACCAAGACGAUGAUGCAUAGCCGAGUUGAGAGACUGAUCGGCCACAUUGGGACUGAGACACGGCCCAAACUCCUACGGGAGGCUGCAGUAGGGAAUCUUCCACAAUGGGCGAAAGCCUGAUGGAGCAACGCCGCGUGUGUGAUGAAGGCUUUCGGGUCGUAAAGCACUGUUGUAUGGGAAGAACAGCUAGAAUAGGGAAUGAUUUUAGUUUGACGGUACCAUACCAGAAAGGGACGGCUAAAUACGUGCCAGCAGCCGCGGUAAUACGUAUGUCCCGAGCGUUAUCCGGAUUUAUUGGGCGUAAAGCGAGCGCAGACGGUUGAUUAAGUCUGAUGUGAAAGCCCGGAGCUCAACUCCGGAAUGGCAUUGGAAACUGGUUAACUUGAGUGCAGUAGAGGUAAGUGGAACUCCAUGUGUAGCGGUGGAAUGCGUAGAUAUAUGGAAGAACACCAGUGGCGAAGGCGGCUUACUAGACUGUAACUGACGUUGAGGCUCGAAAGUGUGGGUAGCAAACAGGAUUAGAUACCCUGGUAGUCCACACCGUAAACGAUGAACACUAGGUGUUAGGAGGUUUCCGCCUCUUAGUGCCGAAGCUAACGCAUUAAGUGU
rnacentral:rRNA from 1 species